CUUUCCGUUCUAUAUUAGACAUGAGGUCAUGUAGCCUAGCCUGGCUACAAAAUUUCUCCAUAACCCAGACAGGCUCUGGCUCCUCGUGACUUCAUCUCACUGGUGUUGAAGGAGUCCAAUUCAGGGUCUCCCUUCGGCACACCAGGCAAGUCUACCUCAACACUACAUCUCCAGCUCCAAUAGGAGCAAUUUCUGACAAGGUGCCAGAGGGACAAGAGUCUAUCCUGAUGGAGAAGCAUGGCAACAAUCAGCAGACACGAUGGCUGGAGCAAAAGCUGAGGGCUCACAUCUUGAACUAAACGGAGGAAGCAGUGAGGACACACUAGGCAGAGCCAGAGGCCAAGCCCUCAAAGCCUGUCCUCAGUGACAUAUUGCCUUCAGCAUGGCCACAUCUUUUAAGCCAACCAGUACUGUCAAAUGUGGAAUCAAGUCAAAUCAAGUAUUCAAAUGACAGAACCUAUGAGGGACAUUCUCAUUUAAUCCACUACACCACAUCUUGUAGGAGAGAGACUAAACCCAACUCUGAGUGCAGCAUGGGUCAGCAGGGAUUUGUAGUGAAAGAGCAAGGUAGAAAUCUAUACAGAGAAUUACCAAAGAAAACAUUGAGGAUAAAGUGUUCACAGGCACAGACUUAACAGGGUCACCAGUGACAUCGGCCCAGAGUGACAAGAUACCAAGAGUAGUCAAAGACCAAAGGCUCACAUGGAACCGUCUUUGCAGGAUUUCUGCCUGCACUGGUCAUAAGGAUGGAAACUCUGUAUUCACUCUUCUCAGAAUGGAAUCAGAAGAUGGACCAUAGACCUUGU